rnacentral:misc_RNA from 1 species
AUCUACUUCAAGCUGUGGCGGGUUCAGGAGUUGGAUCUGACCUGACUUGAAAGGAAUUGGCGCUAAGAGCAGCGGCCAGUACUUUCGACAAUAGGGAUGGGUAGAUUGGCAAUCGAAGAAGGGCUUGGGAGUCAAAUGGCCGGAAAAUCUGUUUUUAACUUUCAGAUUUUUUUUUUAUAAUAAACAGUAAACUAGGCAUUAUAUGUUUUGAAAGCUGAAUGAAAAUUUUGACAGGGAAAAUGAGAGAAAUUUUGAAAGAGGUUAGAAC